CGAAUGCUGACAUAAGUAACGAUAAAGCGGGUGAAAAGCCCGCUCGCCGGAAGACCAAGGGUUCCUGUCCAACGUUAAUCGGGGCAGGGUGAGUCGACCCCUAAGGCGAGGCCGAAAGGCGUAGUCGAUGGGAAACAGGUUAAUAUUCCUGUACUUGGUGUUACUGCGAAGGGGGGACGGAGAAGGCUAUGUUGGCCGGGCGACGGUUGUCCCGGUUUAAGCGUGUAGGCUGGUUUUCCAGGCAAAUCCGGAAAAUCAAGGCUGAGGCGUGAUGACGAGGCACUACGGUGCUGAAGCAACAAAUGCCCUGCUUCCAGGAAAAGCCUCUAAGCAUCAGGUAACAUCAAAUCGUACCCCAAACCGACACAGGUGGUCAGGUAGAGAAUACCAAGGCGCUUGAGAGAACUCGGGUGAAGGAACUAGGCAAAAUGGUGCCGUAACUUCGGGAGAAGGCACGCUGAUAUGUAGGUGAAGUCCCUCGCGGAUGGAGCUGAAAUCAGUCGAAGAUACCAGCUGGCUGCAACUGUUUAUUAAAAACACAGCACUGUGCAAACACGAAAGUGGACGUAUACGGUGUGACGCCUGCCCGGUGCCGGAAGGUUAAUUGAUGGGGUUAGCGCAAGCGAAGCUCUUGAUCGAAGCCC
rnacentral:rRNA from 1 species